rnacentral:rRNA from 1 species
CAGUCGCCGCGGUAAUACAGAGGGUGCGAGCGUUAAUCGGAAUUACUGGGCGUAAAGCGCGCGUAGACGGUUUGGUAAGUCAGAUGUGAAAUCCCUGGGCUCAACCUGGGAACUGCAUUUGAUACUGCCUGGCUAGAGUAUCGAAGAGGGAAGUGGAGUUUCCGGUGUAGCGGUGAAAUGCGUAGAUAUCGGAAGGAACACCAGUGGCGAAAGCGACUUCCUGGUCGAAUACUGACGUUCAUGUGCGAAAGCGUGGGGAGCAAACAGGAUUAGAUACCCCUGUAGUCCUGUCUCUUAUACA